rnacentral:rRNA from 1 species
AGUGAACGCUGGCGGUAGGCCUAACACAUGCAAGUCGAACGGCAGCACAGUAAGAGCUUGCUCUUACGGGUGGCGAGUGGCGGACGGGUGAGGAAUACAUCGGAAUCUACUUUUUCGUGGGGGAUAACGUAGGGAAACUUACGCUAAUACCGCAUACGACCUACGGGUGAAAGCAGGGGAUCUUCGGACCUUGCGCGAUUGAAUGAGCCGAUGUCGGAUUAGCUAGUUGGCGGGGUAAAGGCCCACCAAGGCGACGAUCCGUAGCUGGUCUGAGAGGAGGAUCAGCCACACUGGAACGGAGACACGGUGCAGACUCCUACGGGAGGCAGCAGUGGGGAAUAUUGGACAAUGGGCGCAAGCCUGAUCCAGCCAUACCGCGUGGGUGAAGAAGGCCUUCGGGUUGUAAAGCCCUUUUGUUGGGAAAGAAAAGCAGCAGGUUAAUACCCCGCUGUUCUGACGGUACCCAAAGAAUAAGCACCGGCUAACUUCGUG